UUAAGCGACUAAGCGUACACGGUGGAUGCCCUGGCAGUCAGAGGCGAUGAAGGACGUGCUAAUCUGCGAAAAGCGUCGGUAAGGUGAUAUGAACCGUUAUAACCGGCGAUGUCCGAAUGGGGAAACCCAGUGCAAUUCGUUGCACUAUCGUUAACUGAAUACAUAGGUUAACGAGGCGAACCGGGGGAACUGAAACAUCUAAGUACCCCGAGGAAAAGAAAUCAACCGAGAUUCCCCCAGUAGCGGCGAGCGAACGGGGAGCAGCCCAGAGUCUGAAUCAGCUUGUGUGUUAGUGGAACGGUCUGGAAAGUCCGACGGUACAGGGUGAUAGUCCCGUACACCAAAAUGCACAGGUUGUGAACUCGAAGAGUAGGGCGGGACACGUGGUAUCCUGUCUGAAUAUGGGGGGACCAUCCUCCAAGGCUAAAUACUCCUGACUGACCGAUAGUGAACCAGUACCGUGAGGGAAAGGCGAAAAGAACCCCGGCGAGGGGAGUGAAAAAGAACCUGAAACCGUGUACGUACAAGCAGUGGGAGCACCUUCGGGUGUGACUGCGUACCUUUUGUAUAAUGGGUCAGCGACUUAUAUUCUGUAGCAAGGUUAACCGUAUAGGGGAGCCGCAGGGAAACCGAGUCUUAACUGGGCGUUAAGUUGCAGGGUAUAGACCCGAAACCCGGUGAUCUAGCCAUGGGCAGGUUGAAGGUUGGGUAACACUAACUGGAGGACCGAACCGACUAAUGUUGAAAAAUUAGCGGAUGACUUGUGGCUGGGGGUGAAAGGCCAAUCAAACCGGGAGAUAGCUGGUUCUCCCCGAAAGCUAUUUAGGUAGCGCCUCGUGAACUCAUCUUCGGGGGUAGAGCACUGUUUCGGCUAGGGGGUCAUCCCGACUUACCAACCCGAUGCAAACUACGAAUACCGAAGAAUGUUAUCACGGGAGACACACGGCGGGUGCUAACGUCCGUCGUGAAGAGGGAAACAACCCAGACCGCCAGCUAAGGUCCCAAAGUCAUGGUUAAGUGGGAAACGAUGUGGGAAGGCACAGACAGCCAGGAUGUUGGCUUAGAAGCAGCCAUCAUUUAAAGAAAGCGUAAUAGCUCACUGGUCGAGUCGGCCUGCGCGGAAGAUGUAACGGGGCUAAACCAUGCACCGAAGCUGCGGCAGCGACACUAUGUGUUGUUGGGUAGGGGAGCGUUCUGUAAGCCUGCGAAGGUGACCUGUGAGGGUUGCUGGAGGUAUCAGAAGUGCGAAUGCUGACAUAAGUAACGAUAAAGCGGGUGAAAAGCCCGCUCGCCGGAAGACCAAGGGUUCCUGUCCAACGUUAAUCGGGGCAGGGUGAGUCGACCCCUAAGGCGAGGCCGAAAGGCGUAGUCGAUGGGAAACAGGUUAAUAUUCCUGUACUUGGUGUUACUGCGAAGGGGGGACGGAGAAGGCUAUGUUAGCCGGGCGACGGUUGUCCCGGUUUAAGCAUGUAGGCUGGUUGUCCAGGCAAAUCCGGAUAAUCAAGGCUGAGGUGUGAUGACGAGGCACUACGGUGCUGAAGUAACAAAUGCCCUGCUUCCAGGAAAAGCCUCUAAGCAUCAGGUAACAUUAAAUCGUACCCCAAACCGACACAGGUGGUCAGGUAGAGAAUACCAAGGCGCUUGAGAGAACUCGGGUGAAGGAACUAGGCAAAAUGGUGCCGUAACUUCGGGAGAAGGCACGCUGGUGUGUAGGUGAAGCCCCUGCGGGUGGAGCUGAGACCAGUCGAAGAUACCAGCUGGCUGCAACUGUUUAUUAAAAACACAGCACUGUGCAAACACGAAAGUGGACGUAUACGGUGUGACGCCUGCCCGGUGCCGGAAGGUUAAUUGAUGGGGUUAUCCGUAAGGAGAAGCUCUUGAUCGAAGCCCCGGUAAACGGCGGCCGUAACUAUAACGGUCCUAAGGUAGCGAAAUUCCUUGUCGGGUAAGUUCCGACCUGCACGAAUGGCGUAAUGAUGGCCAGGCUGUCUCCACCCGAGACUCAGUGAAAUUGAACUCGCUGUGAAGAUGCAGUGUACCCGCGGCAAGACGGAAAGACCCCGUGAACCUUUACUAUAGCUUGACACUGAACAUUGAGCCUUGAUGUGUAGGAUAGGUGGGAGGCUUUGAAGCGUGGACGCCAGUCUGCGUGGAGCCAACCUUGAAAUACCACCCUUUAAUGUUUGAUGUUCUAACGUUGGCCCCUGACCGGGGUUGCGGACAGUGUCUGGUGGGUAGUUUGACUGGGGCGGUCUCCUCCCAAAGCGUAACGGAGGAGCACGAAGGUUAGCUAAUCCUGGUCGGACAUCAGGAGGUUAGUGCAAUGGCAUAAGCUAGCUUGACUGCGAGCGUGACGGCGCGAGCAGGUGCGAAAGCAGGUCAUAGUGAUCCGGUGGUUCUGAAUGGAAGGGCCAUCGCUCAACGGAUAAAAGGUACUCCGGGGAUAACAGGCUGAUACCGCCCAAGAGUUCAUAUCGACGGCGGUGUUUGGCACCUCGAUGUCGGCUCAUCACAUCCUGGGGCUGAAGUAGGUCCCAAGGGUAUGGCUGUUCGCCAUUUAAAGUGGUACGCGAGCUGGGUUUAGAACGUCGUGAGACAGUUCGGUCCCUAUCUGCCGUGGGCGCUGGAGAAUUGAGGGGGGCUGCUCCUAGUACGAGAGGACCGGAGUGGACGCAUCACUGGUGUUCGGGUUGUCAUGCCAAUGGCACUGCCCGGUAGCUAAAUGCGGAAGAGAUAAGUGCUGAAAGCAUCUAAGCACGAAACUUGCCCCGAGAUGAGUUCUCCCUGAGACUUUAAGUCUCCUGAAGGAACGUUGAAGACGACGACGUUGAUAGGCCGGGUGUGUAAGCGCAGCGAUGCGUUGAGCUAACCGGUACUAAUGAACCGUGAGGCUUAACCUU
rnacentral:rRNA from 1 species